ACCUCUUGCUCUCGCACGGCAAAAAAAAAUCUCUGGACCAUCCUCCCACCCCUCGCCCCUUUUUCGUGCUUCCUCACCCACCGCGCCUCCCCUGCUCUCUCUCCCUCUCGAGCGCCCGCCGCCACCACCGAUCCAUCCCCUGUGCUCUCACGCUCGCUGCCGCCGACCACCUGCUCUCCCUCCAUCUCGCGCGCACGCCGGCGAGAUCGAGCCGAUCUGGCACGCCGGAGGAGGUCUUCAUCGCGAGAGUUGAUGCUGGGAUUCGGAUGACCUCCAUCGUAUACACGACUUGGGUGUCCUUGCACAAGCGACUUGAAAUCCCAGCCUGGAUCCGGAUGCCGCCUCCCUCGCCGUGCGUGAAUCUCGUCCCGCAAGACCCUCAUCGUCCUGGUCCUCGCCCUCACCUCCAAAGGGAUUGAAGAUCUUCGAGAUCCGCUGCAUCGACUUCUGGCUUAUCAAGGGGGGCGUCAAGAAGACAAGGCCUGAGGACACCGCUUAGCAGGGCCUGGCCGUGGCAAUGCCUCAUGGAGAGCUUGCAGCAGGCGCAUCGGAAGCUCACCGCCAUCCUCGACAUCAUCACCAAGUUAAAUGAUGGAGUCAUUUAUCUGGAUGGUAUAUAGUGAGGUCUAAUGGUUGAUUCUGCGUUGGUGGUAUGUGCACAAAUAUGCCCUUUACAUCUUUAAUUAAUCUUUUCAUAAUGUUGUUGAUGGAUGAUACAGUGUUUGAGUUUCAGGCUAGCUAGCUGUACAGCUCAGUUUGCGAGCUGUCUACUUUUAACUACACUUCCACAAACUCUAUUAAAUACGUACAGUUGCAGCAUUUGGUUUACUUCUUUCUAUUUUCCAGUUUAAUAUACUGCACAGACACAGGGCAGGAGAUCCCGUGGUCAGUUCCCUCCGGAUACCAACGUGGUCGAAUUCAUCCAUCUUCCUCGACUCAGUUCACCCACUGCGCCCCCAAUCUUUUAAUUUUCCUCGACAUGAGUCCAUGCUCGAUGUUUCCCGAACACGACACUGUGCAAAUUAUUUAUUUUGUUUGUUUUCAUUUGGUUGAGGGGCCUCUGGACCAAAUGAACUGGUAAAUGUUAUUGUUCAGAAGUUUGAACAUCAUGUUGCAUAGUUUUGUUCUUUUUUAUUUGCAUAUAUUAUUUUAAGAUUGGUCUUUUAAUAUAUAGUACCAAAGAAUCUCGUACGGCAGUGUCAGAUAGUGUUAAAGGAAAGCAUGCCCCAUCCCAUUGUGGCAAUGAAUUCUCUUUUAAAAUUGAAGAUAGAAAAUGGUGAAUACAAAAUUCGGUUGUGGUUGAUGCAUUUAUUAUGUUUUCUUGGCAGUGGUUUACUACUGAAGUAUACAUUUGUGCUCGCCUGACUGAAAUUGCUGAUUAUGCUCAUCCUUCCUGCAGUUUUCAGAAAGCUUGGUUGAGCCUGUGUCUGCUAUGCGAUCAUGAGUGGGAAAUGAAAAGGCAGUUAUGUUCCUUCUGGUAAGAACUAGAGACUUCCUGUUGUACAUGAGAAUUCUGGUAAAAAUGAUAUUUCCAAGAUUUUUAGUUAGUUGCAGAGGGACCUGUACAAGGUGAUCAUCUCUUUUGGCAUUGACUUCGCUCGUGCAGUCUUCCUCCAAGUGAGUAACUGGCCAUGUAAAAGCUUGUGCUUGCAGAUUUUUUAGUAGAAUUUGUGGAUUUCUAUACCUUUUCACAUCUCAUGUAUGAGCAGUACGAUGAUGAGGCUGCUGACAUAAUUCUUCUGGCUACCGGUGGUGACCCCUGUGCAACAAUUUUGCAUGCUAGAUCAGGGGCAUGAAAGGUUAACUUUUCACUUCUUUUCUAGAUCAGCAACUUGAUUGCUUCGCGUGCUGGCAUCAUUGCUUAGGUUGAAUGCUACAACCUGAACGCAACUGAGCAUUUUAAAUUUGUUCGUCUUCUUGUAACUUGGUUUCAGUCAUUUACAUUCAACUAUCCUUUGUCUGAUUUUGAGAAUGAGCAGGUUAAAUCAAUGAGGAAGAAGGUAGGGCUAAAAUUCAGGAUUAUCAAUCAAAUUUAGGAGCAACAUUAUAGUAUGAAGAUCGCUUUAUAUCAUCUAAGCAAAUUGUUGAAGAUAUGUAGCUUGUUAAGCAUUAUGGACAUGUCCCUUGUGGAUUAUUAUCACAUCUCAGUUACCGGUUUUGUUUGUUUUAAUUUUGGACUCACGAUGUUCAAUUUGUAAGGAAUUGUGAAAUAGGAAGGCAUAUUCAAUUCA